rnacentral:rRNA from 1 species
CGCUGGAGCGUCGGACCCAUACCGGGCCGUCUCGGCAAGGAGGACUUAAACUCCCCGAGCCCAGGCCGAGACGAGUAGGAGGGCCGCCGGGGUGAGCGCGGAAGCCUGGGGAGCGAUCCUGGGUUGAGCCGCCCCGGGUGCAGAUCUUGGUGGUAGUAGCAAAUAUUCA